CUGGCGGCGUGCCUGAGACAUGCAAGUCGAACGGGUGACUCGGAGCUUGCUCUGAGUCGCUAGUGGCGGACGGCUGAGUAACGCGUAGGUGACCUACCCCGAAGUGGGGAAUAACUGCCCGAAAGGGUGGCUAAUACCGCAUGUGAUCGGUCAUUCAUUUGAUUGAUCAAAGCAGUAAUGCGCUUUGGGAGGGGCCUGCGUCCGAUUAGCUCGUUGGUGGGGUAAUGGCUCACCAACGCCACUAUCCGUAGGUGGUCUGAUAGGAUGAUUGAUUAUACUGGGUACUGAGAUACGGUCUCCAUAUUCUUUACUGUGAGGCUCCAUCUCGCACUCAGCAUCUAAUCUCUCACCACCACACCGCACACAUUAUCGCGACUCUCUUCCUUCUCAACAAUUAAAUUCAUUACUCUUUCUCUCUAGGCAUCUCUACAUUCUCACUGUUCUCAGUGCCUUAAGAGUUGUGUAUUGUAUAGGCUACAUAUGUUUGGAAUCUAUUAUUACUUACUUGUACUUCUUUCCUCUUCCUCUAAAAUCUUUAUUGAGCUUAUCGCCCCCUUCUCCCUCCCUUCAUUUCUGCCUUUUAUAGUAUAUAUAAAUCUAAUCUAGUAUUGUGUUGUUUUUGUAUUCUAGUUUCUAUAUUAACCUUUAUCUAUUACUAUACUAGUGUCUUUAUAUAUCACUCUCUCCUAUACCCACGCACUGAAUCUUUAUUCCUACUUUUCUCUAUGACUUAUCUCUCUCCUCAUUUUACUCUCAUUAAUCUCUCCUGUCACCACUUCACCCCUGUCUUGAUAGAUAGUAUUUUAGAUCUGC
rnacentral:misc_RNA from 1 species